rnacentral:lncRNA from 1 species
GGUUCUCUGGGAGUUUCACUUCAUGUAUACACACACUGAGACACAUUGUUUGUUUAUAGCCCUGAGCCUUUCUAGCCAUCCCGUUAAUAUUAUCCUUUGUUAACCCCAUUUGAUCAUGUACCCUUUGUUUGUCUAACCACAUAAAUGUAACCCGCGGCCCAAAACACUUCCUUACCCUAAUCAGAGUCAAUAUGAUGUCAUUAAGUUAUGUUAAAUUCUAAGUUUGGGGUAAACCCCAUAAGCAUCAAAAAUCAAGGUGCGUACAAAAAAAAGAAGAAAAAAC